UGGGGAAUAUUGGAUAAUGGGCGGAAGCCUGAUCCAGCAACGCCGCGUGAGGGAUGACGGCCUUCGGGUUGUAAACCUCUUUCAGUACCGACGAAGCGAAAGUGACGGUAGGUACAGAAGAAGGACCGGCCAACUACGUGCCAGCAGCCGCGGUAAUACGUAGGGUCCGAGCGUUGUCCGGAAUUAUUGGGCGUAAAGGGCUCGUAGGCGGUUUGUCGCGUCGGGAGUGAAAACAGCGGGCUUAACUCGUUGCUUGCUUUCGAUACGGGCAGACUAGAGGUAUGCAGGGGAGGAUGGAAUUCCUGGUGUAGCGGUGAAAUGCGCAGAUAUCAGGAGGAACACCGGUGGCGAAGGCGGUUCUCUGGGCAUUACCUGACGCUGAGGAGCGAAAGUGU
rnacentral:rRNA from 1 species